rnacentral:pre_miRNA from 1 species
CACUCAAGCAAAAGCGCGCGUGUGUAUGAAGGCACUCUAGAGCAAGUUAGAGUGCCUUCAUACACACGCGCGCUUUUGCUUGAGUGGUGACAUC